rnacentral:rRNA from 1 species
GGACUACAGGGGUAUCUAAUCCUGUUUGCUCCCCACGCUUUCGCGUCUCAGCGUCAGUUCCGGGCCAGUGAGCCGCCUUCGCCACUGGUGUUCUUGCGAAUAUCUACGAAUUUCACCUCUACACUCGCAAUUCCACUCACCUCUCCCGGACUCAAGGUCUCCAGUAUCAAAGGCAGUUCCAAGGUUGAGCCUUGGCAUUUCACCCCUGACUUAAAGACCCGCCUACACGCGCUUUACGCCCAGUAAUUCCGAACAACGCUAGCCCCCUUCGUAUUACCGCGGCUGCUGGCAC